rnacentral:rRNA from 1 species
AGAACGAACGCUGGCGGCAUGCCUAACACAUGCAAGUCGAACGAGACCUUCGGGUCUAGUGGCGCACGGGUGCGUAACGCGUGGGAAUCUGCCCUUGGGUUCGGAAUAACAGUUAGAAAUGACUGCUAAUACCGGAUGAUGACGUAAGUCCAAAGAUUUAUCGCCCAAGGAUGAGCCCGCGUAGGAUUAGCUAGUUGGUGAGGUAAAGGCUCACCAAGGCGACGAUCCUUAGCUGGUCUGAGAGGAUGAUCAGCCACACUGGGACUGAGACACGGCCCAGACUCCUACGGGAGGCAGCAGUGGGGAAUAUUGGACAAUGGGCGAAAGCCUGAUCCAGCAAUGCCGCGUGAGUGAUGAAGGCCUUAGGGUUGUAAAGCUCUUUUACCCGGGAUGAUAAUGACAGUACCGGGAGAAUAAGCUCCGGCUAACUCCGCGCCAGCAGCCGC